rnacentral:rRNA from 1 species
CCUACGGGUGGCAGCAGUGAGGAAUAUUGGACAAUGGGCGCGAGCCUGAACCAGCCAAGUAGCGUGAAGGAUGACUGCCCUACGGGUUGUAAACUUCUUUUAUAAAGGAAUAAAGUGAGGCACGUGUGCCUUUUUGUAUGUACUUUAUGAAUAAGGAUCGGCUAACUCCGUGCCAGCAGCCGCGGUAAUACGGAGGAACCGAGCGUUAUCCGGAUUUAUUGGGUUGAAAGGGAGCGUAGAUGGGUUGUUAAGUCAGUUGUGAAAGUUGGGGGCUUAACCGUAAAAUUGCAAUUGAUACUGGCAGUCUUGAGUGCAGUUGAGGUAGGCGGAAUUCGUGGUGUAGCGGUGAAAUGCUUAGAUAUCACGAAGAACUCCGAUUGCGAAGGCAGCUUACUAAACUGCCACUGACAUUGAGGCUCGAAAGUGUGGGUAGCAAACAGGAUUAGAUACCCUAGUAGUC